CCGAAGUACAAGAGGACAACUUUUUCCUGCAUUUUAGAAACCAAAGUGAAGGGAUGGAUAUAUGGAUGCUUGGAUACCUGUCCAAUACAGCAUCAAGACAGAGCUGAAGCUUACACCCAGCCCUGGUUAACUAACUUCAUGGUUCUCAUGACCUGAAUCUAAAAAUAGCUUUAAGAUGGCUGCAUGGGUACUCC
rnacentral:lncRNA from 12 species